UAAUUGAAUAAUUUAACGAUUUCCCCUUCCUAUUUGAUAUUGAUUAGCUCACCAAUACAUAUGUAAUGGAACUCUAUUCGCUUUUCUGAUUGAUAUAUAAAAUAAUCGAAUUAGGAAAUCCCCUAUUUACUAUUCACUGAAUAAUAACUUUUUUGUUGACAAAAGAAUAAAGAUCAUUUCUAUUCCAAGGUGGGGAGUUUAAUUUUCCCCAUCGACCUA
rnacentral:sRNA from 1 species